rnacentral:rRNA from 1 species
GAUUUCCCUAGUAACGGCGAGUGAAAGGGAAAGCCCACUUUAAAUCUCGCCCCAGAGUGCCGGAACUGUGGUGUCUGGAGAGCCUCUUGUUCCCAUGUUUGGCUUCCGGGACCUCCUGAUGGGGGACCCUCCCCUAGCGGGAGGCCGGUCCAUAACUGCGAUCGGUUGCGUUGGGUUGGAUCUUCCUCGGAUUCGGGUUGUUUGGCAUUGCAAUCCAAAGGGAAACCCCUUCUCCAACUAAAUAUCGGUACUGCACCGAUUCCGA